UCCCCUAUCCCAGGGUGUUCCAAGUCUUGUCCAGCUGGCCUUGGACACUUCCAGGGAUCAGUUUGACUGAGAACAUUUUCUGGCUUGGAUUCUCCAUGGAUUUGGCAGAGCUGGGAGCUUUACCUGGAUUUUAAGUUAUCCCUGACUGUCCCUGUUAGGAUUAUAAACAUUUCCAGCAGGUCUGUCCUGGUUUAUAACACUUUUUCUUGGAAGCUGCUUGGUGAGGAAAGGGAAACAGCAUCUUUAGUAUCCUGCAAAAGCAGCUUCUGGUUUUACUGGAAUACAGAGCCAUCCACAAGGAGGGUUCUGGGAUUUUAGUUUGGAUCCUCCUGUAACAUCAGUGAGAUAAACACUGUUGGAGAUUUUCUCUUCAAAACAGCUUCUGUUGCAACUACAGCAUUAAAGCAGUGUUUUAUUUAAUGUGGAGUUAAUAACUCAGGUCCCACAGGCCCCUUGGAACAUUCAGAAUUGCCACACCUGGUGAGGAAUGAUGAAUUAUUUCUGUAAAUGUUAGUGGAGCCUCUUGGCUCAGCAUUUAAAAACAUACUUGGAGUCAAGGCUGAAAUAGUGAAAAUUGUUUUGGUUCCCAUGGAGGCACCUUCCUUUGUUUCCUGCUGUCCCUGCCCCUACAGCAGGUGCCCCUGAGAGGCAGAAAAAGGUUGUCUCUCCCUCUGAGAAGCCAAGGAAUUGGUGAGAUGGAUGAUCCAGGUUGUUCAAUCAAUUCAGUGAUUGAGGGGCUGAGGAGGAAGAUGAGUAAAUGUGUGCUGUUGGAAUUGUGUUUGUAGUGCACAAUCCUGACACCCCUUCACCUUUUGUAAUGAAACAAUCUUUAUUACAGCCAGAAGAGGAGCCUAAAGAGGAAGCAGCACCAGCCAAGCCUGUGGUGGGAAUUAUUUACCCUCCUCCAGAGGUCAGGAAUAUUGUGGACAAGACUGCCAGCUUUGUAGCCAGAAAUGGUCCAGAAUUUGAAGCCCGAAUUCGUCAGAAUGAAAUAAAUAACCCCAAGUUCAACUUCUUGAACCCAAAUGACCCUUACCAUGCCUACUACCGGCACAAGGUCACCGAGUUCAAGGAGGGCAAAGCCCAGGAGCCCUCAGCUGCCAUCCCCAAGGUCAUGCAGCAGCAGCAGAGUGCCCAGCAGCAGCUCCCACAGAAAGUGCAGGCCCAGGUGAUCCAGGAGACGGUGGUUCCCAAGGAGCCCCCGCCCGAGUUCGAGUUCAUCGCGGACCCUCCGUCCAUCUCGGCCUUCGACCUGGACGUGGUGAAGCUCACGGCGCAGUUCGUGGCCCGCAAUGGGAGGCAGUUCCUCACCCAGCUCAUGCAGAAGGAGCAGAGGAAUUACCAGUUUGAUUUCCUUCGCCCCCAGCACAGCCUGUUCAACUACUUCACCAAGCUGGUGGAGCAGUACACAAAGAUCUUGAUCCCACCAAAGGGCUUACUCCUCAAGCUCAAGAAGGAGGCUGAAAAUCCUAAGGAAGUCCUAGAUCAGGUCUAUUACAGAGUGGAGUGGGCCAAGUUCCAGGAGCGAGAGAGAAAGAAGGAAGAGGAGGAGAAGGAGAAGGAGCGUGUUGCUUAUGCCCAGAUUGACUGGCAUGACUUUGUGGUUGUGGAAACAGUUGACUUCCAGCCCAACGAACAAGGGAAUUUCCCUCCUCCCACCACUCCAGAAGAGCUGGGAGCUCGAAUCCUGAUCCAAGAGCGUUACGAGAAGUUUGGAGAAAGUGAGGAGGUGGAGAUGGAGGUGGAAUCAGAUGAGGAAGAUGAAAAGCAAGAGAAAACAGAUGAGCCUCCAGUCCAGCUGGAUCAGGACACACAAGUGCAAGAUAUGGAUGAGGGGUCAGAUGAUGAAGAUGAAGGUCAGAAGGUUCCUCCUCCUCCAGAAACCCCAAUGCCACCCCCACUCCCUCCCACACCAGAUCAGGUCAUUGUGCGGAAAGAUUACGAUCCCAAAGCCUCAAAACCAUUACCACCUGCCCCGGCUCCUGAUGAGUACCUCGUGUCUCCCAUCACUGGAGAAAAGAUUCCUGCCAGUAAAAUGCAGGAGCACAUGAGGAUUGGGCUCCUGGAUCCACGGUGGCUGGAGCAGCGGGAUCGAUCCAUCCGCGAGAAGCAGAGUGAUGAUGAAGUCUAUGCCCCAGGUUUGGAUAUUGAGAGCAGCCUGAAGCAGCUGGCAGAGCGUCGUACUGAUAUCUUUGGUGUAGAGGAGACAGCCAUUGGUAAAAAGAUUGGAGAAGAAGAGAUCCAGAAACCAGAGGAAAAGGUGACCUGGGAUGGCCACUCAGGCAGCAUGGCCCGCACACAGCAGGCUGCUCAGGCCAACAUCACUCUGCAAGAGCAAAUUGAAGCCAUCCACAAGGCCAAGGGACUGGUGCCAGAGGAUGACAGCAAGGAGAAGAUUGGGCCCAGCAAACCCAAUGAGAUACCCCAGCCACCCCCUCCUUCCUCAGCCUCCAACCCCCCUGCCAGCGCCCAGCCCAUCACAUCCGUACCUCGUCCACCCACCAUGCCUCCUCCCGUCCGCGCCGCCGUGGUUUCUGCAGUUCCGGUCAUGCCUCGUCCCCCCAUGACCUCCGUGGUCCGGCUGCCCCCAGGAUCCGUCAUAGCCACCCCCAUGCCUCCCAUAAUCCACACCCCACGCAUCAACGUGGUGCCCAUGCCCCCCUCUGCUCCCCCCAUCAUGAGCCCCCGCCCGCCCCCCAUGAUAGUCCCCACAGCCUUUGUCCCCGCUCCUCCCGUGGCUCCGGUCCCGUCCCCGGCGCCGAUGCCUCCCGUUCACCCCCCACCACCCAUGGAGGAUGAGCCAGUCUCCAAGAAACUGAAGAGUGAGGACAGCCUGAUUCCAGAGGAGGAAUUUCUGCGCAGGAACAAGGUACAUGGUGUGGGUCAGAGUCCUGGGCUGCUCCACUCCAGCUCCAAAGCAAAUUCCCUGCACAGAGGGGCAAAAAUACCUGGCAAGAAAGGGACUUCCUGAGGGCCCAGUCACGGUCAAAGUCCAGGUUCCCAACAUGCAGGACAAGACGGAAUGGAAGCUGAAUGGCCAAGUGCUGGUGUUCACCCUGCCCCUCUCAGACCAGGUGUCUGUUAUAAAGGUUAAGAUCCAUGAGGCCACAGGGAUGCCAGCUGGGAAGCAGAAGCUGCAGUAUGAGGGCAUCUUCAUCAAGGAUUCCAACUCCCUGGCUUAUUACAACAUGACAAGUGGCUCUCUGAUUCACCUGGCACUCAAAGAGAGAGGAGGCAGGAAGAAAUAGGAGACAUGGAGACCUGAGACGUAAUG